AUUGAACGCUGGCGGCAGGCUUAACACAUGCAAGUCGAGCGGGGGAGGUUGCUUCGGUAACUGACCUAGCGGCGGACGGGUGAGUAAUGCUUAGGAAUCUGCCUAUUAGUGGGGGACAACAUUCCGAAAGGGAUGCUAAUACCGCAUACGCCCUACGGGGGAAAGCAGGGGAUCUUCGGACCUUGCGCUAAUAGAUGAGCCUAAGUCGGAUUAGCUAGUUGGUGGGGUAAAAGCCUACCAAGGCGACGAUCUGUAGCGGGUCGUAGAGGAUGAUCCGCCACACCGGGACGGAGAACCGGCCCAGACUCCUACGGGAGGCAGCAGUGGGGAAUAUUGGACAAUGGGGGGAAGCCUGAUCCAGCCAUGCCGCGUGUGUGAAGAAGGCCUUUUGGUUGUAAAGCACUUUAAGCGAGGAGGAGGCUCUUAAGGUUAAUACCCUUGAUGAGUGGACGUUACACGCAGAAUAAGCACCGGCUAACUCUGUGCCAGCCGCCGCCGUAAGAC
rnacentral:rRNA from 1 species